CCUUACCAGGGACGUAUUUCUCACCCCACACUUAAAAUCAUGCAAUGCCCGCAGUGCAUAUAGAUGGAAAAAUUAAAAACAGGUAAAUCAAGAAAUACUCCUUGGGGCCCCUCUAGGGCCUAGCUAGCAACAUAACCUCAACAUUAAGGGUCGGCACGACCCCACACUUAAGCUCAAACAUGCUCCUCAGCUUUCAACUUCGGGUACUCAGAUUUCCCCUAAUCUGCAAAACAAAAACAAAACAUAACACUAUAUUAAAAAAAAAAAAUACAAGCUGGGUUGCCUCCUAACAAUCGCUUGAUUUAACGUCGCAAAGACGAUGUGAAUCAACUUUUUCCUCCACCUCGAACUUACGAAUUGUACCCCUAAUUUUGCAUCAAAUUUUCUAUCACGCUUCUGGGGUGGUGGUGUGAAAAUAAAGGAAUCAAGCAAUAGGUGUCGCAUCUUGCACUUCUUGAACCUUAAGUGAGGAAGUUCUUCGAGGAAUGGGCAAUGAUGCGAAUGGAAAUGGAGAUUUGAAUGUGUGCUUGCAGAAGGAAUACCUUAGUUAAAUGGAGCCUAGUAAAUAAAGUCUUUAGUGCUACAGUUUAGCCCAACUUUUCUUUAUGUUUCAAGUUCUAUUUAUUAAGUAUUAGUCCGUUAGAUGUAUUCUAGAUGUCUUAUUCAGUCCCUGCCAGUCUGUUAGGAAUUAUGGACAGGUGGAAGAAUAUAGUAGGAAUGUUAGAUAGUGGUGCACAAUGAAUAGCUAUAAUCGUCCUUCAUUCCAUAAUCAAUUUCAGAAAUGACCAAUUUUGGAUUGUUUA